ACUGAGAGACUCGACAAAGAUGGAAAAAGAUCCAGGAAGAUCAGUGAGCAACUGAAAACCAGAGAAGCAGAGAGUCAGCAGGAAUCAGGAGGUCUAGAAGGAGUCAUAGUUCCACUGAUCAGGAGGUCUAGAAGGAGUCAUAGUUCCACUAAUCAGGAGGUCUAGAAGGAGUCAUAGUUCCACUAAUCAGGAGGUCUAGAAGGAGUCAUAGUUCCACUAAUCAGGAGGUCUAGAAGGAGUCAUAGUUCCACUAAUCAGGAGGUCUAGAAGGAGUCAUAGUUCCACUAAUCAGGAGGUCUAGAAGGAGUCAUAGUUCCACUAAUCAGGAGGUCUAGAAGGAGUCAUAGUUCCACUAAUCAGGAGGUCUAGAAGGAGUCAUAGUUCCACUAAUCAGGAGGUCUAGAAGGAGUCAUAGUUCCACUGAUCAGGAGGUCUAGAAGGAGUCAUAGUUCCACUAAUCAGGAGGUCUAGAAGGAGUCAUAGUUCCACUGAUCAGGAGGUCUAGAAGGAGUCAUAGUUCCACUGAUCAGGAGGU